rnacentral:rRNA from 1 species
GAUGAACGCUAGCGGGAGGCCUAACACAUGCAAGCCGAGCGGUAGAGUCUCUUCGGAGACUUGAGAGCGGCGCACGGGUGCGGAACACGUGUGCAACCUGCCUUUAUCUGGGGGAUAGCCUUUCGAAGGGAAGAUUAAUACCCCAUAAUAUACUGGAUGGCAUCAUCUGGUAUCGAAAACUCCGGUGGAUAGAGAUGGGCACGCGCAAGAUUAGAUAGUUGGUGAGGUAACGGCUCACCAAGUCAGCGAUCUUUAGGGGGCCUGAGAGGGUGAUCCCCCACACUGGUACUGAGACACGGACCAGACUCCUACGGGAGGCAGCAGUGAGGAAUAUUGGACAAUGGGUGAGAGCCUGAUCCAGCCAUCCCGCGUGAAGGACGACGGCCCUAUGGGUUGUAAACUUCUUUUGUAUAGGGAUAAACCUAGAUACGUGUAUCUAGCUGAAGGUACUAUACGAAUAAACACCGGCUAACUCCGU